rnacentral:rRNA from 1 species
CGGUAACAGAUCUAGCUUGCUAGAUGCUGACGAGCGGCGGACGGGUGAGUAAUGCAUAGGAAUCUGCCCGGUAGUGGGGGAUAACCUGGGGAAACCCAGGCUAAUACCGCAUACGUCGUACGGGAGAAAGGGGGUUUCGGCUCCCGCUAUUGGAUGAGCCUAUGUCGGAUUAGCUAGUUGGUGAGGUAAAGGCUCUCCAAGGCAACGAUCCGUAGCUGGUUUGAGAGGAUGAUCAGCCACAUCGGGACUGAGACACGGCCCGAACUCCUACGGGAGGCAGCAGUGGGGAAUAUUGGACAAUGGGGGCAACCCUGAUCCAGCCAUGCCGCGUGUGUGAAGAAGGCCCUCGGGUUGUAAAGCACUUUCAGCGAGGAAGAACGCCUAGUGGUUAAUACCCAUUAGGAAAGACAUCACUCGCAGAAGAAGCACCGGCUAACUCCGUGCCAGCAGCCGCGGUAAUACGGAGGGUGCAAGCGUUAAUCGGAAUUACUGGGCGUAAAGCGCGCGUAGGUGGCUUGAUAAGCCGGUUGUGAAAGCCCCGGGCUCAACCUGGGAACGGCAUCCGGAACUGUCAGGCUAGAGUGCAGGAGAGGAAGGUAGAAUUCCCGGUGUAGCGGUGAAAUGCGUAGAGAUCGGGAGGAAUACCAGUGGCGAAGGCGGCCUUCUGGACUGACACUGACACUGAGGUGCGAAAGCGUGGGUAGCAAACAGGAUUAGAUACCCUGGUAGUCCACGCCGUAAACGAUGUCUACCAGCCGUUGGGUGCCUAGCGCACUUUGUGGCGAAGUUAACGCAAUAAGUCGACCGCCUGGGGAGUACGGCCGCAAGGUUAAAACUCAAAUGAAUUGACGGGGGCCCGCACAAGCGGUGGAGCAUGUGGUUUAAUUCGAUGCAACGCGAAGAACCUUACCUACCCUUGACAUCUACAGAAGCCUGAAGAGAUUCUGGUGUGCCUUCGGGAACUGUAAGACAGGUGCUGCAUGGCUGUCGUCAGCUCGUGUUGUGAAAUGUUGGGUUAAGUCCCGUAACGAGCGCAACCCUUGUCCUUAUUUGCCAGCGAGUAAUGUCAGGAACUCUAAGGAGACUGCCGGUGACAAACCGGAGGAAGGUGGGGA